GAUCUCUUUAGCAGCCUAUAUACGAAGAUAGAAACAAUACAGAGAAAUUAGCAUGGCCCCUCAGAAAGGAUCACUCACAUACACACAGAAAAAGAAUUACUUAGA